rnacentral:tRNA from 1 species
AGUAAAAGAAGCUAAAAAAGGUAUCGGGCCCAUACCCCGAAAAAGAAGGGUCCACCCCUCCCCCAACUA